rnacentral:rRNA from 1 species
UGGGGAAUCUUAGACAAUGGGGGAAACCCUGAUCUAGCCAUGCCGCGUGAUCGAUGAAGGCCUUAGGGUUGUAAAGAUCUUUCAGUGGGGAAGAUAAUGACGGUACCCACAGAAGAAGCCCCGGCUAACUCCGUGC